rnacentral:misc_RNA from 1 species
AAGUCGUAACAAGGUUUCCGUAGGUGAACCUGCGGAAGGAUCAUUAACAAAUCAGUUAUAUGGCUUCGGCCAUAUAUAUUCACCCCGAGCCUGGGGUAAUACCCGGGCUUUGGUUAGGCUAGUGUGCUUCGGCGUACUAGCCACAUAGACGCUUGUAUUGUUUGACAGAGUUUAGUUGCAAUAAAAAUGACAACUUUUAACAAUGGAUCUCUUGGCUCUUGCAACGAUG